UGUUACCCCAGUUGAAUUUUUCUAGCAUGUGUCAGUUUGUCUAUUCCUAGCCCAGUGUGUAUAUAAUCAAAUGCUGAAACAAGUAAACCCCGAGUUCUCCUCACAUAUUACCUGUCCAUCAGCAAUUAUCAGCAAAACAUGGUAUUGA